rnacentral:rRNA from 1 species
UACGGAGGGUGCAAGCGUUUAUCCGGAUUUACUGGGUUUAAAGGGUGCGUAGGUGGGUAAGUAAGUCAGUGGUGAAAUCUUCGAGCUUAACUCGGAAACUGCCAUUGAUACUAUUUAUCUUGAAUACUUUGGAGGUAAGCGGAAUAUGUCAUGUAGCGGUGAAAUGCUUAGAUAUGACAUAGAACACCAAUUGCGAAGGCAGCUUCUAAUACAGUUAUUGACACUGAGGCACGAAAGCGUGGGGAUCAAACAGG